rnacentral:pre_miRNA from 1 species
GUAUUACCAGGAGUUCCCUACAAGCACUUUACGAAGAGCCUUUCAAAGGGCUUAUUUGAAGUGUUUGGGGGAACUCUUGGUGUAAC